AAAAAGGAAGAUAGAAAAGAAACAGAAUGAAACGAAACAGAGAGCAGGGGAGAAAAAGAAAGAAAGAAAAAAAGAAAGGUGGAAAAGGGAAAAUUUAAGGUUUGAAGCUUUAAGCUUUAAUAGAUUUUCAGAAGGUUGGACGGUCGGAUCAGCACUCAAGUCACACUAUUCAGCUUAUCUCGGUAGUUUUUUAAACAUUCAAUAUGGUUUAUAUGACAUGUAUAGGCUUUUGUACGAUUUUAGUCAAAAUUUAGCUUAUGUAAAUAUUAUGAAUAAUAUUUUGUUUAUAUAAUCAACCUACAUAUUGAUAAGAGAUUAAGGUAAAUUUGUGAUUUUGGUAUAAGUGAUAUAUGUAUUUGAAUUAUAGUGAACUUUGGUAACUUGGUUUGAUAAAUUAAUUAGGUAAGGUUGAAUA